rnacentral:lncRNA from 1 species
GGCUUUAUAGGGAUUUAGCCGACGAAUUAAAGCGUAUUUCGUCGGUCUAAACUUUUUUUUUUUUUAAAAAAACUUUAGCCGACGAAUUAAGGCGUUUUUCGUCGGCUAUAAGUCCAUUCCAGUAAAAAAAAAACCCCAAAAUUUCUGAAUUACCAUUCCAAGCAAGCUGCAAAAUACAUCAAAACAAUUCCAUAUAACCAACAACAAGCACAUAAAACUAUAUAAUUCAUCAACUACACAAAAUCUAAAUCGUCUAAAUUAAUAUCCGCUUCUGGGGGUUGCUGCGGAGGUUGCGGCGGCUGGGGUAGCGGUAUAGCCGUAGGCAUGGGCGGAGCCGGAAGUCCCUGAAGCUGGGCAGCUGUAAAGUCCUGCAUGUACUGGAACAUCUGCUGCUGCUGGGCCUGCUGGAUGGCAUGUAUCUUGGCAACAUAGGUUGCCUGCGCGGUAUUAUAGGCUGCCUGCGAGGCAUUAUAGGCAGCCUGAGCAGCUUGCUAUUCUCGUAGUCUCUGAACUUCCGACUCUAGCUGAGUCGUCCUGGUGGUCGUGGAUGUGGUCCUGCUGCUGGUCGAGGCUGCCUUUCGUUGAAAUCCUGGAGUGGUCUUUAGGACCCCCUCGCCUUUCUUUCCUAGACCCCGGUAGUAGAAGUUGUUUGCUCUCGGUGGGAAGGUUGUGCCCAUGAUCCUUGCCCCAAUCGUCGGAUCCGAAGUGUCGAUCCGGGACAUGGUUUCGGACAUUUCUUCCUCCUGCGUGUCCGGCCAUGUCUCCCUCACUAUAACACUCAUCACCUCGUCACUAGCCUCCCUCACCUUCGCCUAUAUGGAUAAGAAAAAAUUAUUAAUUAACAUUUUGACAUAUAUAUAUAAGUAAAUUUAAAAAUUUAAAAACGUAAGAUGACUUACAAUAUCUUCCUGGGAGUCAAGAUAUGCCUUCUCGUACGUAUAGACGUAUCGGUUGACUUCUGGAUGUUCCCUGGCCGUCUCGUCCAUGAAGACAGCAAACGGUCUAGAAUCGCCAUGAUGGUUCCUUGUGUUGCGUUGCCGGUUCUGAGAGUUUGCUCGGGAAACGGCCUUUAAAGAAAAAAUAAUUAUUAGUAAAAUAUUUAAAAACGGACGUACUUAAUGACAAAUUAACUAAUUAAUUUUUUUAAAUACCUGUUUACGAGGGUUGUUGAAUUCUGAUGUCAGAAGCCAACGCCACUCGUACUCCCUGUACUGGAACUCAGCAGGGGUACCAGAACGUGCGUUCCCGUGCGUAGUUCAGUGGGUCCGCAACUCGUUCUUCCACUCCUUGUACCUACAGAUACAACAAAAUUAUUAGAAAUAUUAUUAAUAUCACAUACAAUUUUGUUUUUCAUUAACUUCCUAACGUACCUUCCCCCAUGCACAACGUCGGCCCAGCUGUCAUUCAGGUGCUCGGGCACCNNNNNNNNNNNNNNNNNNNNGAGGGAGGGAGGGAGGAGGGAGGAGGGAGGAGGCGGAGACGGGAGAGGGAGGGAGGAGGCUAGGGUUUUUCUGCUGUCGAGCAGUUAAACCCGAAAACUUUAGCCGAUGAAAUAAUUAUUUCGUCGGCUAAAGCUAAGAAUCUCGUCGGCUAAACCUUUGAAAUUCGUCGGCUAAAGUAUUUUAAACAUUUGGCACAUUGUGAUUGUGAUGAUCAAACUUGAGAAAAAGAAAUCCGACCGUCAGAUCUGACCACCAUGACAAAAUACAUGUAUGACCAAAAAUUCAACUUGAUCCGACAAGAAUAAGGGCUCGAUCCGGACGGUCAAUCUCCUAAGUCAAACCCCUAAACGCACGGAAAAGGUCGUUCGACCGUCUAAAUUACGUAUUUUGGCCAGACUUUCAACUGAAAAUAGUUUUAAAUCGAUGACACGCAACAAGUCGUAUAAAAAUUUUACGCAAAAUAACCACCGAAUAUAGGGCUACUCAUAGGGGGAAAGAAUGAAAAAUUGUAUUGACCGCAACUAUCGGCACCGAAUAUUUACCGGAAUAGUGUGAUUUGGCAACCGUGGAUAUAUUUCAACAUUCUCGACAUAUAUUAUUUCAUGACUUUUUUGAGUUUGAAGGUUUUACGUAUAGUUUGUUUUUGAAACGAAACAUUUACAUAACAUUUGGUAAACAAGUUAUACAACAUUAGUAUACAUGUUGUGAUUGUGAUGAUCAAACUUGAGAAACAGAAAUCCGACCGUCAGAUCUGACCCUCCUGACAAAAUACAUGUAUGGGAAAACAUUCAACUUGAUCCGAAAAGAAUAAGGGCUUGAUCCGGACGGUCAAUCUCCUAAGUCAAACCCCUAAAUGCACGGAAAAGGUCGUUCGACCGUCUAAAUUACGUAUUUUGGCCGGACCUCCAACUGAAAAUAGUUUCAAACCGAUGAGACGCAAGAAGUCGUCUAAAAAUUUUACGGAAAAUAACCACCGAAGAUAGGGCUAUAGUAGGUAAUAGAAAAAUUUUAGGGUUUAGCCGACGAAUACCCUAACGUAUUCGUCGGCUAUAGUAUGUAAUUAAAAAAUAAAAAAAUAACUAAAACCGACGAAAUAUUAGGUUAUUCAUCGGCUAAAACAGUAUUAGCCGACGAAAUAUAGUAUAUUUCGUCGGCUAAGAUGGGUUUAGCCGACGAAAUACACUAUAAUUCGUCGGCUAAGAUGGUUUUAGCCGACGAAUUAUGGUGUAUUUCGUCGACUUAAGGAAAAAAAUACAUUAAAAAAAAACAGACGAUAUUAGUAAACCAUACUAACUUCCUGUUCAUCAUAUAUCACCAAAAUUCAUAUAAAAUAACUGAAAUAUGAAUUCAACAUAUGUAAAGUAUAAAGAAAAAGGUCUUUAGUUAUACAAAUUAAUGGAUUACGUCCUCUAAAUUAAAACUAAGGCUCGUAAUCGGAAUCAUCCGAUGAGUCUUCUUCGGUGUCAGAAUUAAUUUCUGGUAAUAUAUGUCUUUCCUCAUUGCCAGAGUCUUCGUCUAUUUCUUGAUUUGGAUCAACAUCAAUAAGCCUUGGCUCUUCAUCACGAAUUCGCACCGAACGACCCGCUUUAAAAUUAUUAAGGCGAACGGUAGAGGAGUUAGGAAUACCUAUUGCGUUGGGCUCUUGAUACGCAACAUCCUCUUCCUCGGCUUCGGCCUCUCCAAGUGUAGCCGCCCGGUAAAUAUUUCGAGGGUGCACCAGGUUGACUACUUUCCACGCGUCACCCUUAGCAAGGUCAUCAAGAUAAAACACUUGUUUUACCGAUGUGGCAAAAAUGAACGGGUCAUCUUCGUAAGAACUUGUAGCAGUGUUCACCGAUAAUAUUCCGUACUGAUCGGUCUUCAUGCUCUGCGGCCUAAUAUCAAACCAUCUACACUUGAAGAGGUGCACUGUCAUGCCUUGCCUAUAAACGAGUUCCACUACUGAAUGAAGAACACUGUAAGUUCGGAUCGUUCCGAUUUAAGAAUAUCGAAGUUAGGCAAUGAUGAGCGUAUUUAUGGCUCUCGGGUAAUUUUGCCUAUUUUGAUUAAAUAUUGGAUUAUUGGUUGGGAAAUUAAUUUUAUAUUUGGAACAGGAUGUGAGGAGGCUCGAGCAGACGAGACCCCAGAUCGACAUCAGGCUUAGGCCUAAUUUGUAAGUGGACGUUUAUUUUAAAUAAAUGCAUGCUAUAGUUCAUGGUUGAACAAUUAAUGUUACGGAAUAUUUUAACGUCAUUUUAAUUUGACGAUUUUUAUUUCUCUUGGAGAGUUACCGAAAAUAAGAUUUUCGAUGGAUAUAAAUAUGUAUUUAUGAGAGAGUAUGUAUAUANNN